CGAGAAAGAGAAAGUAGAAUCUUCCGAAGUCUCAUCUCAAGACAAGGAAGCGGAGACAAAGGAGAAAGAAGAGUCUUUGUCCCAAGAGGAACUUAAAGAUAGAGUAGCUGAGGGAAAGGAGAAAGAUGAGUCUUCGUCUCAAGAGGAAACUAAAGACAAAGAGACGGAGGAGAAAAAGGAGAAAGAAGAGUCUUCAUCGCAAGAGGAAUCUAAAGACAAGGAAACCGAGACCAAAGAUAAGGAAGAGUCUUCGUCUCAAGAGGAAACUAAAGAUGGAGAAACUGAGACAAAGGAGAAAGUAGAAGAGUCUUCGUCUCAACAGGAACCUAAAGACAAGGAAAUUGAGACAAAGGAGAAAGUAGAAGAAUCCAAAGAUGGAGAGACU
rnacentral:lncRNA from 1 species